AGAAUCAACGCUGGCGGCGUGCCUAACACAUGCAAGUCGAACGAGAAAGUGGGAGCAAUCCCACGAGUAAAGUGGCGCACGGGUGAGUAACACGUGACUAACCUACCCUUGAGUGGGGGAUAACCUAGGGAAACCUGGGCUAAUACCGCAUAACACUUACGAGUCAAAGCAGCAAUGCGCUUGGAGAGGAGUUCGCGGCCGAUUAGUUAGUUGGCGGGGUAAUGGCCCACCAAGACGAUGAUCGGUA
rnacentral:rRNA from 1 species